rnacentral:rRNA from 1 species
UAUGAACGCUGGCGGCGUGCCUAAUACAUGCAAGUCGAGCGAACGGACGAGAAGCUUGCUUUUCUGAUGUUAGCGGCGGACGGGUGAGUAACACGUGGAUAACCUACCUAUAAGACUGGGAUAACUUCGGGAAACCGGAGCUAAUACCGGAUAAUAUUUUGAACCGCAUGGUUCAAAAGUGAAAGACGGUCUUGCUGUCACUUAUAGAUGGAUCCGCGCUGCAUUAGCUAGUUGGUAAGGUAACGGCUUACCAAGGCAACGAUGCAUAGCCGACCUGAGAGGGUGAUCGGCCACACUGGAACUGAGACACGGUCCAGACUCCUACGGGAGGCAGCAGUAGGGAAUCUUCCGCAAUGGGCGAAAGCCUGACGGAGCAACGCCGCGUGAGUGAUGAAGGUCUUCGGAUCGUAAAACUCUGUUAUUAGGGAAGAACAUAUGUGUAAGUAACUGUGCACAUCUUGACGGUACCUAAUCAGAAAGCCACGGCUAACUACGU